CUGUCUGUCUGUCUGUCUGUCUGUCUGUCUGUCUGUCUGUCUGUCUGUCUGUCUGUCUGUCUGUCUAUCUAUACGCGUGCCAGUGGCUCCGCCAUGUGCGCGAUAAUACGUAUUCCAGAGUGAAACGAACCAUUUUUCAAGGCGUAUCCAGCCCGGUGAUCUCAUUCGCAGACGCGGCAAUAAAUAAAUAAAGUAGACAUAGCGGUUCGGACGCAGCGCUCCAGCAGACACGCUCGCCGACACGCAGCUGUGAGCAUCGGCGUCAAACGGAAACCGUGCAGGCUGCCGUGGCCGCGGGCUCGCAACGGCGCAGGAGUCGUGGGGCCGAAACACCUGCGGUCCGGGCUCGCCGCGGUGCGUAACCCAAGGCUUGCGCCUCGGCUCCAGCGUGGAAGGAAGGGUAACGAAUGUAUAAAGAAUUAAAAAGAAGAACGACGGCGAAAAGCCUCCGCGCACACCGCUGACACGUGCCAGCUCAGACCACGGAGUUCGAAUGUGAGACCUGGGAAACGAUUGACUGGCCCACGAAGUGCGAUCUAAGAUCUGUGGCGCCUGUCUCGAGGGGGCCCCGUACUCGUUUGAUCCUUUGCGGCCAGUCCUGUGAAACUCACAACAACCGAUGGCAGCAGUGACUGACUCUCUUUCCUGGUCACGAAUUAACGGAAACUCUUACAGCAACGAGCUCUUGACGGGGGCGACUUGAGCGGCAUAAGAGACGUAGUCUGUCAUUUCUGUGUUCAGACUACAAGAUGGGCGUGGCCUACCAGAGUGCGGCGUCCCAACGUUUGUACAACAUAGUCGACACCGCGCAAAUAUCGUCCCACGUCCUUUCUGUAGAUGUUGCGUCCCUCUGGAGAGCCAGUUCUUUGCUACAAAAUGCUUCGUCCACCGAAGUGGGAAACAAGCGCUUCGGGCUCUAGUUGCGUUCGUGUUAGGUUAGGUUAUGGUUCAAAGCCCACUUCGCGGACACGUAUCUGUGGUAUAUUUAGUUAGACGCGAAACCAAAGUACAGAACACAAAUAGUAAAAAGAAAAAAAAUUAUUGAGGACAGUGGCACUGUUAACUGAUGAAUACAUAUGCCCUAUGACUGCCUUACACUAUACUCUCGAGAUAAUCCUUUCCCUCAUACGAGUAUUUUCUCAUUGUACUGUCACUUGUAUACGUAAAGUGGUACAACACUGCUUCUGUUGACAACGGUUUUGUUUGAUUGUUAGGUUCCCAUAUAUAUCAUUGUGUUCGCAGUAAAUUAUACAACUUCGUUCUUUCUACGUCCACACAAUAAUUUGGGAACCAGUGCAUAAGGCUACCUGUGCACUGCACACUGCAUGUUAAGAGAGGUUGCCGUUGCCGCAUUUGGGCAUCAACAUAUUGUACUUUUCUUUUAUGUCAAUAAAAAUAUGCGUGCACAGCUGAGACCAUGAUCCUGAAAGCA